rnacentral:tRNA from 1 species
GGGCCCAUAGCUCAGGCGGUUAGAGCGCUUCGCUGAUAACGAAGAGGUCGGAGGUUCAAGUCCUCCCUGGGCCCACCA